rnacentral:rRNA from 1 species
CCUACGUGAGGCAGCAGUGGGGAAUAUUGCGCAAUGCUCGUAAGAGUGAUGCAGCGACGCCGCGUGAAUGACGAAGGCCUUCGGGUUGUAAAGUUCUUUCGACAGGGAAGAAAAUGCCUCUAAGUAACUGUGUAUGUAUUGACGGUACCUGCAUAAGCAGCACCGGCUAACGCCGUGCCAGCAGCCGCGGUAAUACGGAGGAUGCGAGCGUGAUCCGGAUUUAUUGGGUUAAAAGGGUGCGCAGGCGGAAGGUAAAGUCAAUGGUAACAGUGAGGGGCUCAACCUCUUCGAGCCGGUGAAACUGGUUUGCUUGAGUGAGUGAGAAGUAUGCGGAAUGCGUGGUGUAGCGGUGAAAUGCGUAGAUAUCACGCAGAACUCCGAUUGCGAAGGCAGCAUCCCGGCGCUCAACUGACGCUCAUGCACGAAAGUGUGGGUAUCGAACAGGAUUAGAUACCCCUGUAGUC